CGCACUGCAUCGAUCCUUACCCAGGAACGAUACGCCCUAUUGAGCGUCAUUACGUCUUCGUGACUUGCCUCUUUAUCGACGCAUGUCCGGGUUCGGGAUUCACAACUUUGAUGUUGCGCUUCCUCAGAUGCAUGUCUGCACCAAAGUAUGCGGUGACCUUGUCAUAAAUGUCGAGGUGUGCUCGUGAGCUUUGUGGGGCAAGAUCCUUUGCUGGGCAUCGGAUCAGACUGCGACCUCGGUUGCAACUUCCACACAUGACCUCAAGGGGGUGGGACGACCCGCUAGACUUAAGCAUAUUAAUCAGCGGAGGAAAAGAAACUAACAAGGAUUCCCCUAGUAACUGCGAGUGAAGAGGGAUUAGC
rnacentral:misc_RNA from 1 species